UAUACCCAGUGGAAGAGGCCUGAGUGAUUAUAGUAAGAUAACCCAGGAUUUAAAUAAAGCAGAAUAAAACACAAUGCUUUAACCAUUAACUCCAUAUAACUGAAAGAGAAGGAGGAAACUGCUUAAACCAUGUAUCACAAACCCUCACUUUACUGUUAUUAUAAGAUCCAAAUAAAGGACUACUGAAAUUCAGGAACACAGAUACUAAUAUCACCUUUUUGUGAGGCAGGUCUCCUAACCUUUAAGAAGAAGGGAAAGGCCACCAUUUCAAAUAUUCAAGUUUCUACAUUAUAGAACAACACAGAUUUGCUUCAACAUGAAUCACAGUAUACAACAUAAAUUUGGCUCCUGAAUCACAAACAUAAGAAGGCUCAUGUUUGAACCACUGACCACAUAACGGAACUGAUAAAGAAACACAACAUACAAACAAUCUACAGAUCUACUAAGAAAAUCCAACAAAUGCUAUGUUCAGCAAAGGGCAAGAGAGAUCCUCUCACCUCUGCAAGAGUCUACCGUAUACCAUGCAGCUGUUGACAAGUUCACAUAGGGACCACCAAAUGCAGCAUUAUAAUAAUAAUAAUAAUAAUAAUAAUAAUAAUAAUAAUAAUAAUAAUAAUAAUAAUACUUUAUUUAUAUCCCGCCACCAACUCCCCACGGGGACUCGGGGCGGCUUACAUGGGGCAGUUGCCCAAACACAAAUCAAGGAACAUGAAAGGCCCCACAGAGUAACUCAACCUGAGAUGUCAGCCAUAGCAAAGCACCUGAUGAACCAACCUAGGCACAACAUAUUAUAUGAGAACACAGAAAUGAUGGAACACUUCAAUAACCACCAUGUCAGACUACACAGAGAAGCCACUGAAACCCACAAGCAUGUGGACAAUUUCAACAGAAAGGAGGAAACAAUGAAAAUGAACAAAAAACUGGCCACCAGAAAUAAAAAAAACUCUAAAAUCAGGAAAGCAAAUAAAGAGCAACAUUCAAAAAAACAGGGUGAAUUCCAGACAAAAACCAAUCAGGGGCAGCCAACACCUUUCAACAAAGGACCCCCUCCCAGGCAGUAACCAGCCAGGCCCCGAAACUACAAGGCCACUAAACACCAAUCAAGGUGGCAAACCGCAACAUUCACACGUGCCUCAAGCAGACAGGAGCUCCCUCUCUCCAAAAUAUUUAAAAAUAUAUUACCUUUUCUUUUCUGACUUAUAGCUGAUUCAAAAUCCCUCCUCUUCUAACAACAACUCUAUUUCUCUUCUCACUUCACUUUUCCUUUGACACAAACUCUCUCCUGGCAAUUUUGCUCCCAAACCUUUGCCUUUUUUUUUUUAACGCCUUUCAUUUAAACCACAGCAAUCUCUUCACUAACUUUCACUACAACCCAUCUCUUCACUAACUUUCUUUAAACAUUCUUAAACAACGUUUUAAUCUCUUGAAGCUUUUUGCAUCUAUAAACAAAACCGUACAACAACAAGCUACUACACCAAGGAUCCUUUUUCUUCCUUCAUAUGGGGAUUCUGGGGAUUCUAAUCCACAGAAACCUCUUCAGCCUAUUUCACUUUCCCCUCCAGUGCAAUAUUUGUAUUUUCACUAUCUUUUUCCUGGGCCGAUGGCCAGGACAUCACUCUUAUCUGCUCAAAAUUGACCUUUCACUUCUGGGCAUAGCGCCCAGAUUUUCCAAGUCCAGUCUCUUUUUACCUUUCAUUAACAAAUAUUUUGUAAGAAUGAAGAUUUAUUUCUACAUCUCAUUUCUAGCCAUUUUUGUGGACUCCCUGUUCUAUUUUCCUUAAGCUAAGUGUACUAGACUGCAACAAAAAUGGAAAUAUGCUUGGAUGGAAGGGCAACAGAGGCAAAUUUUUGGUCUCUGAAGAUCUUGGCUGGCCCAUUACAUUGACCAUUCAAAUGGUUAUAGAAUUUACUGACGUGUACAGAAGAAAAAUCUAGUGGAAUUAAUGAAACCUGAUGAAACAGGCAGAAAGACAACUCUUCACAGAGUUCCAGAACUUCCAGCAAACUGCAGACUAUCCGUCAACUUUGUCCAAAGUGGAGCAAAUUCAGUUUAAGCAACCACCUCCAAAAGUUGGAGUGUAUCAUGGGGACAACUAGCAAUAUAUUAAGGGAAUGACUUCAGAAACUACAAGUGGCUUCUGGUGUGGGAGAAUUGAUAGUCUGUAAGCACGUUGUCCAGGGGACACCUGGCUGUUUUGAUGUUUUAUCAUCCUUGUGGGAGGCUUCUCUCAUGUCCCCACAUGGGUAGCUGCAGCUGGAAGAGGAAGCUCAUCUGUGCUCUCUUCAGAUUUAAACUGGCAGUCUUCAGAUUGGCAACCCAACCUUCAGAAACCAGUCUAGAGUACACUAGACAGCUCCCAAGCCUUUCUAUCUACAAUGGAAUUCUUUUUACCUGAAUAAAUGUUUUUGAACUUUUACUGAGACUCUGCAAACGAUUGCCAUCCUAAGCUGAAAGGAUUCUCUUUGCUCGCCCCGUCAGCAUGCAGAAGAUGAGGAAGUACUUCAUCAAGGACUCGGUGUCACAGUGGAUGAUGAAGCAGCAGCUCGCCCUGUGGCCGGAAUCGAGCAUACUCUUAUGAAGUAAGAAGCUGGAAUUUUAAAUUGCCUCUGUGUCUGUCUAUAUGUGGUUGUCUAUAUAUUUCGUUUGUCUAAUGGCAUUGAAUGUUUGCCGUGUGCAUUGUGCAUUGUGCUCCCCCUUGAGUCCCCUUCGGGGUGAGAAGGGUGGAAUAUAAAUACUUAAAUACAUAACUAAAUAACUAAAUAAAUAAUAUAGAACCAACUA